rnacentral:rRNA from 1 species
UGGGGAAUUUUGGACAAUGGGCGAAAGCCUGAUCCAGCAAUGCCGCGUGUGUGAAGAAGGCCUUCGGGUUGUAAAGCACUUUUGUCCGGAAAGAAAUCCUUGGCUCUAAUACAGUCGGGGGAUGACGGUACCGGAAGAAUAAGCACCGGCUAACUACGUGCCAGCAGCCGCGGUAAUACGUAGGGUGCAAGCGUUAAUCGGAAUUACUGGGCGUAAAGCGUGCGCAGGCGGUUUGCUAAGACCGAUGUGAAAUCCCCGGGCUCAACCUGGGAACUGCAUUGGUGACUGGCAGGCUAGAGUAUGGCAGAGGGGGGUAGAAUUCCACGUGUAGCAGUGAAAUGCAUAGAGAUGUGGAGGAAUACCGAUGGCGAAGGCAGCCCCCUGGGCCAAUACUGACGCUCAUGCACGAAAGCGUGGGGAGCAAACAGGAUUAGAUACCCUGGUAGUCCACGCCCUAAACGAUGUCAACUAGUUGUUGGGAUUCAUUCCUUAGUAACGUAGCUAACGCGUGAAGUUGACCGCCUGGGGAGUACGGUCGCAAGAUUAAAACUCAAAUGAAUUGACGGGGUCAUA